rnacentral:rRNA from 1 species
UACGUAGGGUCCGAGCGUUGUCCGGAAUUACUGGGCGUAAAGAGCUCGUAGGUGGUUUGUCGCGUUGUUCGUGAAAACUCACAGCUCAACUGUGGGCGUGCGGGCGAUACGGGCAGACUAGAGUACUGCAGGGGAGACUGGAAUUCCUGGUGUAGCGGUGAAAUGCGCAGAGUAUCAGGAGGAACACCGGUGGCGAAGGCGGGUCUCUGGGCCGAUACUGACGCUGAGGAGCGAAAGCGUGGGGAGCGAACAGG